UACGGGGGGGGCAAGCGUUGUUCGGAAUUACUGGGCGUAAAGGGCGCGUAGGCGGCUUUUCAAGUCGGGCGUGAAAUCUCCAGGCUUAACCUGGAAGGGUCGUUCGAUACUGUUAAGCUAGAGUGUGGAAGAGGCUACUGGAAUUCCGUGUGUAGCGGUGAAAUGCGUAGAUAUUGGGAAGAACACCGGUGGCGAAGGCGGCGCUCUGGACCGAGACUGACGCUGAGGCGCGAAAGCGUGGGGAGCAAACAGG
rnacentral:rRNA from 1 species